GCCGUUUACCUUGAAAAAUAGAUAAAUUUUCUUCAUUUAAGGCUCGCUGGCUCGUUCACUUGUAAGCUACGAACUCUCGAACCACCCUUUCCUUGCAUAUAUCACAGUGAAAGCGUAAAAUUUAGUAAAGGUAUAUGCUGACGUUUCAAUGUAUGCAUUUACGUGACAGUUUAGCGAAAGUGUCGAGAAGAAUAUAAGUGUCUACUAUUUUUAGUAAAUGUAUUCAUUUAGUAGACAAUGAAAUUGGUAUGUGCAUACAUUAACUAGUAAGUUCCUUGUCCCUGUUUCACGUGCUUACAUGAGAGUUUUCGAGAACCGUUUGCCCACACAGAGAAAAAUGUAUAAUUCAGCGGAGCGGAUAAACACAGUGUUACCAGUGAUCGAAGUCACCUGGCAGUCCGGUCACGAAUUUAUUUCACAACUACAUAACUUUCCUAACGUUUGGAACAGAGUAGCAAAACGAGGAUUGCGAUCUCGGGAUUUGUUUGGAGUCCAAACAUGCAUAUAAUAGCGGUUGCUUCGUUAACGUUCAACAAAACGAAGUAAUACAUUUUUCUCGUUGUGAAAAUCUCGUUCUAUUCGUGACAAUGAAUCCACGUGAAUUACCAGUGUGCCCUAUUGCUGACAUUAUAACCCAGAUUCUACGUGAAAAAAUAAGUUGAAAGUUUCUCUUCUUGUAUGCUAAUAUUUGUACCUACGUUUGUGCUUAUAGUAUUGGACAAUGGGGAACUUGUAGUAAAGCUGGCUACCGAUGUAUCAUCAAUUUUAUUAUUUUUGAAAUUGUUGAGAAUGUUUAUCAUUACCCAAUACAUAUAUAUGAACAUAAUUAACACGGUUAAUUGUACUUAAUAUUUAAAGUCAGUUCUUCGUAAAAAAGAACUUCGUAUAAAACUCUUUUAUGUUUUUGAUUUAUAUACGUAGAAUCACCUUUUUUACCUCUUUACGAAAUACUCUAUAUAGUCGAUAUAAAUAAUUUCGACCUUUGACCCUUAUGAAAUGAAAAUUAAUAACCAUACACAAUAUGCUAUAAAACUUAACACCGAUAUCAGAGGAUAUAUUAGCCGUAAAAAAAAAACUGAAAAAAAUACCGCCCAGCUACCUUCAGUAUCAGCUUCAAUAAAAAGCAAGAAGGUACGUGAUGUAAACGUAUCUUGCAAGUUACGAAAUCCAAGUACAAAGUCCACGGUACUGCUACGCGAGCCAAGAAAGAAAGACGAAAAGAACAUAGAUCUCGCCAACAAGAAAACACAAUACAACGACUUACUACGUGACUAAAAACUAUAGAGCAAAAAAGAAGAAGCUAGAAGGUGAAAGAGUUAGAAACAGAAUGGUUUCGCGAUGUUUAAUAGCUGCGAAGAGGAAAAUUUGAAAUUUUGCAUGAAGUCGCGUUCGACGACGCGUAUUGCAUGAGAGCGCACGCACACGUGCAACCAAUGCGCCGCGCGGUAUACUCUCACUGUCCUCGGGGACGUUGCUCGAGGACGAGGAUAAAUUUUCCUCUUUGCGCCGAUAUCAAUGAUUUCCCCUCUUCGCGGUGCAACGAGCGACCAGCAAGAAGCGGCGGUCUUUGCGUUCGCGAGCGUUGCAGGUUCGUGUUCGCGAAUCGUUAAACUAUUAUAUAAUGCUCUCUCAAAUUGUUCACUGGAACGCUGCGUAUUUUCUGCAAGUAGCGUUUGAGCCGCCGCGCCGCCACAUUGAGGACGAUUUAGGUGUGGAAAUUUUUUUGUUAAAAAAAGUGUUUACUGAUUUUUUUCUAAUUCUUUUUGUAGUAAGAACGUAACACGUAUUUCUAAAUCUUUUUAGAAUUUUAGUAAAUGAUUAUGAAUAUAGGGCGUGGGUUGAGUAAAAUGUUAGAAGCUGGAGAUAUUAAUCUCAUUUUUUUUUUUUUGGCAUACAAUGGACUUUUCUAUGGCAGUUCUAGGGUAACAGGCCUAAUCCUAACCCUAAUCCUAACAG